UUUUGGUUAAGCUAUAAAGAGCGCAGGGUGGAUGCCUUGGCACUAAGAGCCGAUGAAAGACGUGAUAAGCUGCGAAAAGCUUCGGGGAGGAGCAAAUAUCCUUUGAUCCGGAGAUAUCUGAAUGGGGAAACCUGGCUGAGUAACCCUCAGUCGACGUAUGGUGAAUACAUAGCCAUACGCUGGGAACCCGGUGAACUGAAACAUCUAAGUAGCCGGAGGAAGAGAAAGAAAAAUCGAUUCCCAAAGUAGCGGCGAGCGAAAUGGGAAGAGCCCAAACCAGCGUGCGUGCACGCUGGGGUUAUGGACUGCAUAAGUGAGCUGAUUCGUUAGUGGAACUGUCUGGGAAGUCAGACCAAAGAGAGUGAAAGUCUCGUACACGAAAGCGAUAGGCAGCGGCAGGAUCCAGAGUACCACGAGACACGUGAAACCUUGUGGGAAGUCGGAGGGACCACCCUCCAAGGCUAAAUACUCCUUAGUGACCGAUAGCGCAUAGUACUGUGAAGGAAAGGUGAAAAGGACCCCGGGAGGGGAGUGAAAAAGAACCUGAAACCCUGUGUUUACAAGCUGUGGAAGCACGUUAAGGUGCGACCGCGUACUUUUUGUAGAACGGUCCGGCGAGUUGCCGGUACUGGCAAGGUUAAGUGGUUAAGCCACGGAGCCGAAGGGAAACCAAGUCUCAAAUGGGCGUAAAGUCAGUACAGGCAGACCCGAAACCGGGUGACCUAUCCAUGUCCAGGUUGAAGCGGAAGUAAAAUUCCGUGGAGGACCGGAUCCACAUCCGUUGAAAAGGGUGGGAAUGAGGUGUGGAUAGGGGAGAAAUUCCAAUCGAACCCGGAGAUAGCUGGUUCUCCUCGAAAUAGCUUUAGGGCUAGCCUCAUAUUAGUUUAGCGGAGGUAGAGCACUGAAUUCCUAAGGGGGCGUCAAAGCUUACCAAGGGAUAUCAAACUCCGAAUGCCGUAUAAAUGAUGUAUGGGAGUCAGACUGCACGAGAUAAGUUGGGUAGUCAAAAGGGAAAGAGCCCAGACCUACAGCUAAGGUCCCAAAGUGUGUGUUAAGUGGAAAAGGAUGUGGGAUUUCAGAGACAACUAGGAUGUUGGCUUAGAAGCAGCCACACAUUCAAAGAGUGCGUAAUAGCUCACUAGUCGAGAGGUCCUGCGCCGAAAAUGUCCGGGGCUAAAACACAACACCGAAGCUUAGGAAUCACUUUAAGUGAUUGGUAGAGGAGCAUUCUUAAAGGAACGAAGCAGUACCGACAAGGAGCUGUGGACUUUUAAGAAGAGAGAAUGCCGGAAUGAGUAGCGAGAUGGAGGUGAGAAUCCUCCAGGCCGAAUAUCCAAGGUUUCCAGAGUAAAGCUGAUCUGCUCUGGGUAAGUCGGGGCCUAAGGCGAGGCUGAAAAGCGUAGUCGAUGGACAACAGGUUGAAAUUCCUGUACCGCGUAUUAUCAGAACUGUGGGGACGCAGAAGGACAACACAACCCGGGAAUGGGAAGACCGGGGCAAGCGAGGUAGGAGUAUGGUUGGCAAAUCCGCCGUACAAUCCGAAGACGUGACGCGUAGCGAACUAUAAGUAGCGAAGUGUGUGAUUCCGGCUGCCAAGAAAAGCCGCUAUUGUGUAAUACGUGCCCGUACCGUAAACCGACACAGGUAGAUGAGGAGAGAAUCCUAAGGCCGGCGGGAGAAGCAUUGUUAAGGAACUCGGCAAAAUGACCCUGUAACUUCGGGAUAAAGGGUGCCAGAGAGAUCUGGCCGCAGAGAAUAGGCUCAAGCAACUGUUUAGCAAAAACACAGGUCUAUGCAAAACCGAAAGGUGAGGUAUAUGGGCUGACGCCUGCCCGGUGCUGGAAGGUUAAGAGGAGAGGUUAGCGCAAGCGAAGCUUUGAAUUUAAGCCCCAGUAAACGGCGGCCGUAACUAUAACGGUCCUAAGGUAGCGAAAUUCCUUGUCGGGUAAGUUCCGACCCGCACGAAAGGCGUAAUGAUUUGAGCGCUGUCUCAACAAUGCACCCGGUGAAAUUGAAAUACCAGUGAAGAUGCUGGUUACCUGCGCCAGGACGGAAAGACCCCAUGGAGCUUUACUCCAGCUUGAUACUGGGAUUCGGUAUUGCAUGUACAGGAUAGGUGGGAGGCUUUGAAGGUAGGACGCCAGUCUUACUGGAGCCAAUGUUGGGAUACCACCCUUGCGAUAUUGGGUUU
rnacentral:rRNA from 1 species